AAAAAGUCGAUAAAUGAAUAAAUACAAUAACAUUAACACAGUCUUUUAUUAAAAAGUACCAAUUUUAAAUACCACAAUCCUAUAUAUCAUCUAUUACAGAUACUACUAUCCAAACAUUGAUGUCUCAGACAUAAAUUUGGCUAAGUUGCUUAUUUGUUACUGUGAUUAUCACAAGAUAGUCUACUUUUCAAAUAAAUUAUUUUGUUGUUC
rnacentral:lncRNA from 1 species